rnacentral:rRNA from 1 species
UACGUAGGGUGCGAGCGUUAAUCGGAAUUACUGGGCGUAAAGCGUGCGCAGGCGGCGCCGUAAGUCGAGUGUGAAAUCCCCGAGCUUAACUUGGGAAUUGCGCUCGAAACUACGGUGCUGGAGUGUGGCAGAGGGAGGUGGAAUUCCACGUGUAGCGGUGAAAUGCGUAGAGAUGUGGAGGAACACCGAUGGCGAAGGCAGCCUCCUGGGCCAACACUGACGCUCAUGCACGAAAGCGUGGGGAGCAAACAGG